rnacentral:pre_miRNA from 1 species
GACGACCGCAGACUAACAUUUGACCGUCCGUAUUAUUUGAAAAAAAAACUAUGAUUAGUAUUUUUAUUGUUAUUAGAUGAUAAAAUAUGGAUAAUACUUUGUGUGACUAUUUUUCAAUUUUUUCAUAAAAUAUUAAAUAAGAUGGUCAGUCAAACGUUGGACAUGAAAACCUACAACUGCACUUAAA